CGAUGGUAAUAGCUGAAGCUCCAGCAGCCAUUUUGAGACUAGAGGCUGCGUGUGAAGGAGAGUAGAGGUUAAAAAUUGAGUCUAGGGUCAUUGAUAAAUCUGUAAGGUAGUUAUACGAGUCUUGGAUUGUCUACCUAUGAACUCGUUUACCUGGAAGAGAAAUGAUCUUCAAUCUCAUGUGUUUCCCUUUUACUUCCAGUCUUUGUCACUAACAGUGAACAAAACUCCUAACUGAUAUAUCCUACCUUUAAAUGGAAUGUGGAAACUGACACUGGAAGGCAUCCAAUAAGCACAUUUGCUCUUGCCUCCACCCACCGUCUUUCCUUACAGAAACAAUGCAGACGUGCCAAGGCUGAAAACCUGAGAAAGGCUGUGCUGCGGAGUGCUCAUGAGGAUGCUCAAGCGAUGGCGCAGUCUGGAGGGGGCAUCAAGUCUCCUUCAAAAGGUAAGGAUCUCUAGAUCUGGAGAAAAAAAAAAAGAUUAAAAAAUCUGUAGAAGAAUUGUCAUAAUAGUUUACAAAUAAUAACCCAAAACAAAAUAGCCGGGAUAUCUAUAAGUAGGAGACUUGAUAAACAAUCUUUGGUAUAUCCGUACAGUGGAAUACUAGUCAGUAAUAAAAAGAUAGAUGUACGGGCA
rnacentral:lncRNA from 1 species